rnacentral:lncRNA from 1 species
UCUUAAGACCCUUAUGGCCCUCAUUUCCAAGAAGCCCGUUAGCAAGAAGCCCAAACUUUGAAUCAUUAUGAACCACAGGCCCAUAUUUAAGUUUACCUCCAUAGACUUCUUCCAAUCAGUUAAAAAUCUCCAUAUGAGGUAUUUCCUUUGCCCUAUUACCUUGGCCCAUUGAACUCCGUACAAAAUCUUCAUUGUCUUCGAUAUGAUGCGAGCCAGGUGAUUAGCUUCUCUUGUUGGAUUUCAACCAUUGACCAAAAAAAAAAAACAUUUAGGAAACUCACAUUUCAUAAAUCAUUAUGUGGUCAGGGACAUCACUACCAUAUCUCGGAUUAGUUACAUAGACUCAUUUUCACCUUGGAGACUGAUGGCCAAAGACAAAAAAAAAUUAUUGAGCUGCGAAAUUUUAUUUUGCUCAGUUAACUAAUAUUGGAGCCUCACAAUCUGCUAAUUAUCAACCUUAAGAAAGAAUAAAAUGGUUUAAAACAUCAGAUAAGGAUCCACAUAGUUUGAAAAACUGCAGAGACACUAAAUGUUUAAAACAUUUUUAUAUGAUGAUAAAAUUAAUAAAAAGUUCAGUUUAAAAAAUUCCAACAGUUGGACUGGAGAAUUCUUUAUACCAGAAAUACAGAGAAUCCCGGUGCGAUGAACAUCAAUGUAAAAUGCAUGUCUAGUCAUCCAAAUCCCGGUGCAAUGAACAUCAAUGCAAAAUGCACGUCUAGUCAUCCUUGUCAUCAUUUUUAAUGGAUGACUAGACGUGCAUUUUGCAUUGAUGUAUUUCUCAUCUUAAUAAAAAAAAGGUGAUUAUGAAAAAGCUCCAAAUAAAUCCUUUAUUUUAAAGAAAAAAGUAGUAUGACUAAAGUGGUAAAGUUUAGGUUGUUAGUUCAUUUGAUUAGAGGUGAUUGACCAUCGUUGAUUGAUCACCAGAUACACCUAUGAAAUCCCAGAUUUAUCAAUUGCAUCAACCCACACCAUCCAUGAAAAGGAACAAUGUAGCAGCAAGUGGUUAGAGGACUCUGCAAUGAACUGCACGAGCUACAGAAAAUUCCCUCAUCUAAAUUCACACCUCUAGCCACCAAUUUAACUUCUUAAAAAAUUCUCUUUUCCUGCAAGGAACAGAAAGAUUUUACUAAAAAAUUGCCAUUUAAUUAAAUCCAUCCAGAGCACCUUUUAAGGAUAAUACCUCUUCUACAUCAUUAUUCGCAAAAAUCAGGAUAUCGUCCGUGAAUUGCAAGUAACUGAUCACUAGAACCUUAACCAUAGUCACUCUUGCUAAAAUUCAAUAGUUCUACACCUAAACAAUUUUCAAUUGAAUAAGGAUUGAAUUUCUCUUUAUUUAUAUUAUUACAAAAAUUAACUCACAUCUGUCUAGCCCUUAAUUUAUAAGGUAAUCUAGGAAAAUAAAUAAAAAUAAAGUAAAAAGAAUUUACAAAUGCAAGAUAAACUAUCUUUAUACGCUUAACCAACACUUGCACGAAUGUUUAUGCCAUGACUUCAAAUAAGUUAUUCAAAACUCACAAGAUUAAAUUUUAGGAUUUAAGCAGCAGGUUUAUGCAGAUUUUGUUCAAUUCCAAAAGGUGCUGAUAGUCCUGAGCCUUCUGUAUCCUCUCUAGAGAUUUCCCCUGAAGCCAUUACAUCUUGUGCCCCCUCAUUGUCAAUGCCAUUUGGUUGAUGCUCACUUUUAGAAGAUUCAUCGUGAAACUUUGAAACAACAUUAUUAUUGCUCUUACUAUUGGUGCAGCUAUUGUUGCUGGUGUCACAAUUGCCAUGAUGUAUGGAAACAACAUCAGUAGCUUCAACUUCUUGGGUAUUUUCUGACACCAAGUCCUUCCUCUUUUUUGUUUCUUUACUCUUACCCCAAAGCACCAUGUACAAGCCACACACAAUUAGCACUCCUCCGAUAACACUAUAACAUGUUUCAAAAAAAUAACAAGAGUGAGUCAAACAUAUUGUACUUUCUCAAUUGCAAUAUGGGGCAUUCUACUAUAUACCACAAAAUAAAUGGUACAUCAAUCAAUACACUACUUGUAACUUAUUGAGUUUAGAAUGCGUUUGAGAAAACGGUUUAACAAUACGCUUAUUCAUAAACUAAUUUAAAAAAUUUACUAAAAUAAGUUGAAAAUAUGUUAUGAAUAAACAUAGAUUUUUAUUCAUUAGCUAUUUUGAACACCUUAUGAAAAUAAGCUAAAACAACUUUUAUGUAGGUCAUAAGCUCUCUAAAAAGCAUAUUAAUGUAUACCUUCCUAAGUAUAUCUUCUCAUUCAAAACCAGGGAACUACCAAUAGCCACAAUAAUAAGGGUAAGAGGGUUGAAAACAGAUGCAAACAUGGGACCUCUCACCCGUACACACCAUGCAGUGGCAACAUACACCACUCCAGAGGACAUAAUUCCCUGCAAAAGUUACAUGUUUCAAUAUCAUUGUUGCAUAAUAUUAGUUCACCCAUCCAACCACAAUGUAAUAGAACAAUUAGCAUUUUUUUGAAAACAAAAAUUAAUUUUAUAAUAUUCAUAAAGUUUAGAACAAAAGUCUCUCAAGUGAGCAACGAAACCAACUGAAACCUACCAGGGCAGCACAUAAACAUGGAAUUGAGAAAAGGACUAAAAUGAUCACCAUACCGAGUAAGUUGCGGUUAGAAGCCUAAGACUCCAACCUAACUUCCAUUGGCUCCAAUCCUUCUCAACCCAAAGGGCGAAGACAGUACAUUGUAUUGCCGCCAUUAAGGUCAUCAAGGCCGUGCUUGUGUAUUGUCUUGGAUAUUCUUUAGCAAUCUUAGCCUGUGCGUUAUAGGGUGGUCAAUAGUGAAAACAAGAAUAUCGUUACAGCCUGAUCAUGUGAUAAGUUAGAUAGAAGUGUGUAAUGAAUUUACCUGGAUGAUGAGCCAGAAUGAAAAGCUUAUGCAGCUUCCAAUACCACAUAAAACACCGAUUGUUUUUGUUCUAGUGUCAACAUUCUGUGUUCCUCCGUGGCCAUUUUGAUUUUGAUGCAAAAGAUUAAUGUGGGAGGUCCAAAUGUGAAUUUCUGCCCCUUUGAAAAAUGUCAGCAGCAUUGAUCCACCAAUUCCAACUAUUGUUCCCAACAACUUCACCUGCCCUGCUGCUCUUCCUAUGUUUAACUGUUCGAAGCUGAAAAUUUCAAAAGAACUUUAGUACUUAUCAAUCUUUCUUGAGUGAAUGUCAUCUAGGUUCCAGAAACAUAUUGUCAAUGGCAAGUUAGUGCCUGUCUUGCUUGAGUGAAUGUCAACUUGGUUCCAAAAACAUUUUGUUAGUACCUAUAAGAAGAAAAUACAUUCAAAAGUUCAAUCUACAUAAAAUGCCAAUCAAAUUAAUUAAUUAAAACGUCAAUUAGAAACUAAUUUGACGGACUUGAGUAGUUAUCAAUUUUCUGAAGUAUAUGCUCAGUUUUGUGUUUGAAAUUUUUGCAGUUGACAUAUUGAUCAACUAGAACAUCAGUCAAGUUAGCCGAUGUUGGGACUAAUUUGACUGAUAUUUUACAUGUUCAAAGACUUUUGAAUGCAUUAUUUUUUAGGAACUAACUUUUCAAGCACAAAAACUCUUGGGAACCAAGUUAACGCUUCACUCAUUUUUCUUAAUUAUAAAAGAAGAUAAAAAAAGAUUGAAGUACUGUAAAAUGUGAAUAGGUACCCGAAAAAGAUGCCCAACAUAAAUGUGAUUCCAGGAACGAGAUUAUAAAUGGCAGUAGCAAAUGUUGCUGAUAUCAGAGAGAUAGCAUUGACAAAGAGGUUUUGGAAUAGAGUCCCUCUGUUUAUAUCAUUAUUAAACAUAAACCAAUGUUCAAAAUCACUACAAAUAAACAAUAUGUACAAUACAAUUUAGCAAUACAUGCCCAAUAAUUAAAAGAAAUACCUCUCAGGAAAAGAGAUGAAGACUGAAGAGUUCAGAUCAGACAUACCCAAAUAGGCCGGAAAGAAAUGUCAUGAAAAGCACCCUCCAUGUCAGCUUUGGCCUGUUCUUUCUGCUUCAAAUUAAAAAAAAAAGAACAGAAAAAUUAAAUUAGAGGACAAAACACUAUGCAUGUUCAUUUUAGCCCUUAAUAUGCGAGCCCAACACAAGUGCAUAUCCAUGAUUUUAUUGUUGGAGACACAAAUAAAAUGUGGAAAAAUCUACAAAGUUUAUAGGGAAUGAACUGAGAAUAAUUUUUUUUUUAUACAAAAAUCAUAUAAUUGAAAGGGCUUUUAUCAGAUCUCUGAAUUAAGAUAUAUUUCUACAUAGUUUAAAAUGUGUUUGCAAGUUUAUAGGGGAGAGAAGGGGAGGCUUUGAGGGGAAAACAGAUGGGAAGACAAUGAAGGGAUUGUGUGCAAAACUAGAGAAGCAAUUAACAGGGGUUAUGAAUAAAUGAACCUUUCAAAAAUAAGAGAAAGAAGAAUAGUGCAAGCAGCACCGAACAUGAGGCGAUAGGCAGUGAUUACACUAACGCUCAUUCCAUCGUUUAAGACAACCUUGUAGAGAACAUUUGCAGAAGCAUAAACAAUCUGAACCGCCACCAUUAGCAGAACAGGGCUCAACCCUUGCAACCCUACCCAUAAACCUUUCAUUUUGCUUGCUGUUGUGAAUUGUCUUAGACAGAUUUAAGAAGGGAACAGAGAAAAUAAUUAAGACAUACGGAAAUUCUAUAGAACAAUGUACAAAGUGGAUUUAUAUUUAUUUGUGCAUAACAUGCUCUAUGAUAAAUGUACUGGAAUUGGUUCCAAGUUGAAAAAACAAAGCAUGCAUUUAUUUUAGCCUUAAAUUCCGGUUUACUCUAGUACAGAGCAUUUGACCCAGGUUGGACAUCGUGAUCGUGUAGCUGAAAACAGGAGAGUGCGUUGUACCUGUGUAGUCUAUAAAUGUUUUUUGAACGCUAGUCUAUAAAUGUUAGGAGAAAAUUAAUACAAUUAAAUACCGAUUUUGUCUAUAUAGGGUAUAUAUAUAUAUAUAUAUAUAUAUUAAGAGUGAUAAAUAAUCUAUUCCCAAUUAAUUAUACUACAAAAGAAAAUUUCACUUGACAUAUAUGACAAUAUGAAUUAAUUAUAAUUGACUUUUGUAUCAUAUUCAUUGUACUAAAUAAUAUAUUAAUUUUAAAACCUCUCAUACAUAUCUUUUUUUAAAGAUAUAUUCUCUUGCCUACCAUGAGAAGGUUGUUCUCAUGAUCGUUCUUAUUAAUAUCAUUUCUAUUUUCUCAAAAAAAAGGAUACAUAUCCUUAUCCAAAGAAAAUUGUUUAUACAUAUUACUAGUAUUAAUCUCGCGCCAUACACGGAUAGAAUAAGAGUGCUUUGUCGGCAUACAUCAAACAUUUUCAUAUUUUCUCUCUCUUUUUCUCCCUUUUUUCUUUUUUAAAUACAUAUAUCACUUAUUUAAGUUUUUUUUUCUAAUUAUAGUUACAUUCUAAUUUCUCUAGUUUUUUCUUCUAAUUUGUUAUGUUUUGAAUCAAAAUAUCAAAAACAUUUUUAUCUUCCAGAUAUUUAUAUCCAGAUAUAUAUAUAUAUAUAUAUGAAAACAUAAAAUACAAAAAUUUUGAGUUAACUUCCAAAUCAAUCAUUUUUUUUGUACAUCGAAAAGAUAAAUUGCACCCUCCUGGGAUGGAACCCUGGACCUCCCACUGCACGCCCAACUCAUAUGUUCCCUAACUCUUAACACUUGAACUAUUAUUCAGGAAGUCUAAAUCAAUUCUUUAAAACUUUUUGAUAUCAAAUUCUCUAAGGCAUAUAUAUUUGAUAUCAUUGUCAAGAUAGGAUAUUACAUUCAAUUUUUUUUUUUUAUAUAAAAAAUAACCAUAAUCAUUAAAAAAAAUUCUUUAUCAGCAUACAUCUUAAUGGUAGAAAAGUUACAAUUGACUUUUAUUAAUUAUUCUAAUGUCAUUAAAAACCAAUAAAUAUCAAAUUAAUGCAAUAGUUAUUUUCGAAAAAAGUAACAAUUGACUUUUGUUAAUUAUUCUAAUGUUAUUAAUAAUUAUUAAAUGUAAAAUUAAUACAUUAAUUAUUUUUAAAAACAUAUAAUUAUUUAAUACUUAAAUUAUCAAAAAUAUCAACAUCAUCUACAUACUAAUUAGGGCCCGUUUGAUAUGUUGUAUAGUAUUAGAAUUGAUAGUAUAAGGUCUAAUUGUAUUAGACCUGAUAUGAUAAGGCCUGAUAAAAUUUUAAUACUAUACAACGUUUGGUCAUACAUUGUAUAAUUUGGUAGCAACAGUAGUUGUGGUGAGAGUGAUGGUAUUUGUAACGCCCCGAAUUUCGGGUGUCACUUUAGUAACCUAUCAAAGUAAAUAUGCAAUAUUUUCCAAACGAAUGUAUAAACACGAGUAUUAUUUUUUUUUUCUUUUCGAAGUGUAUUUCCAAAACAUGUCAUGCAUACUCUCAACUACAAAGCCUAACCAAUAGAAACAACUCAACAAAACUAUUAUGCAAUGACACCAUGAAUCCGACAUACUCCCUACGAUCUCCACAUCGGGAAACCGCAGGAAAGCAAUGCAUCGGAACCUACCCGAAACCUCAAAUAUAAAUUCCUAAAAUCUUUAUGCAAGCUUAAACCAAUAACAGUAAGCUCUCUAACCCAAGGAUCUAGCCUUAAACCAGACUCUACUCGUCGAGUACUCCACUAUCCUUCAAGUCCUCAUCUCUACUUGCACAAAGGUUAAGCUCCUUCGAAGAUUCUUCGUCGCCUAAUAGCGUUAAGCGCCCAAACAACAAAUAACAAACAGAAAGGGUUAACUCCAUGCAAUUACCACGUAGAAAAGAGAAAAACAUGUUAUUCAAAUUUAAGUGCAUAUCAUGGCACAUAAACUAGCAACUUAUUUCAAGAUAAAUGACAACAUAUAUCCAACAACAUGAAAUCAAAUCAUAUAUCAGCAAAAUCAACGAUUUGAAUUUAACUCAGAUAUCAACAACUUAGCAACAUAGAUACGACAAACAGAUAAGCUAACAAUAUAAUCAAAGAUAGAUAUCAAUAGAAGCAACAACAUAGAAUUAAACCAGAUAUAAACAACCUCAACAACAUAGAAUCAACUCAUAUAUAUGACAAUAACCUCAAAUCAGAUAUCAACAACCUUAAAAAUAUACAUCAAAUCAAAUAUCAACAAUCAUCAACAAUAUAACAUCAAAUUAGAUAUCAACAACCUUAAAAAUAUAACAUCAAAUCGGAUAUCAACAACUUCAACAAUAUACAUCAAAUCAAAUAUCAAUAACCUCAACAAUAUAACAUCAAAUCAGCUAUCAACCAAAACAUCAGAAGCAAAUAUUAUUGCCCUAUAAUGCAACUAUAUGCUGCAACAAAAAUGGAUCGAUCAAUAAUGUCUCGCAAGACGGGACAGAGCGAGGAACAGACUCCCCUGAACUAUCACCAAAUAACGCCCAUGAAAGACGGGACAAACGGAGAACGGACUCCCCUGAAUGCCACUUAAUAACGCCCAUGAAAGACGGGACAGUCAUGUGAAAAUAUCCACUCCACUGCCACUUAAUAACGCCCAUGAAAGACGGGACAGACGGAGAACGGACUCCCCUGAAUGUCACUUUAUAACGCCUCGAAAGACGGGACAAUCCCGUGGGACAAACCCACCUCAUCGCCACUUCAAGCAAACCAAAACAUCUCAUCCAACUCAGUAGUCACUCAAACAACAAUCCCAAAUUCCCUAAUCAAAUCAAGAUAAUCACAUGUUAUUCAUAUUAUCGACAAACAUAAAUCAAUUCAAUGCAUACCAGAUCAGUUCAAUGACAGAAACCAGUAAACGACCGAAGCCUCUCAGAAAACGGAGACACACGUCUCAAUAAGUUCACUCGGCCGAAGCCUUCAGAAAACAUUUAGCACAAGCCUCAGAAAUAGUCAACAUAAGCAAGCAUACAACAUUGAAAGCAUACCAACAUUUCAAUCAAUUGCCAAUCAAGUUUAAACAAACUUCAUCUCAAACGCAUGCAGUGCGAUAAAAGCAUGCAAGACUCAAAGACACUCAAAAAAUGAGUUACCCUUACCUUAGCCAAUUUCUCCAUCCAAGCUCAACAUCCCAGUCCAAUCCAAAAUAAAGCUCCCGACCCAGCAAGUUCCCCGGGCGUCCUCCUCAGUUGUGAAACCUCACCAAUUGCUCCAAAAUCUCUUUCCUCAGCUCAACUCGUUCCAAACCUUAAGCAAAGUAUCAUUGCUUAGUCGCUAAGAAACAAAACAACUAAUAACACUAUCAAAACCCGAAAAGAAGCUUCGAAGCUCUAGAGUUCGACAUUUAGGCACGAAUGGACAAUAAGACAGGUUUUCGCUGAAAUGCGCAUAACUCGAGCUACAGAACUCGGAAUGACACGAAACCAACGGAAAAAUUUCGACAAUUGAAAGAGCUACGCAAUGGCUCAGGUCAUAGAGACCCAAAAAUUAUUUUUGGACACGGUACCCUAACAAACAGGUUUCGGCCACUUUAGAAAAUAGGGUUUCCGAACUUUUUCUUCGAUCUAAAUCAAUUCCUAGGUAUUCUUAGGCGAUAUCUAGGCCAGGGAAACUCUCAGAAAAAUUAUCGGGUCGAAAACUGUCGCAGGGGUAUUUUGGUCAAUAUUUUUAGCUCGGAAACUCAAAAUCAGAAUUUCGAAAAAUAAAUUAGAUGGGGUCGAUACCAACGACGAUUAUGACGACUAAUCCUACUGAUGCUAAGCUCAGUCGAGAUUUUUUGACUCAAAAAGCGGAACCUCAGCAUAAAAUGGGUUUUUAGUCAGUUUUUCAGAUCUACGGCGACUCGGUGAAAAUCCGAACGAUCCAACAGUGAUUAUAGCAUGUUGGGUUGCAGUAGAAGAUAGUUGGAAAGAAAAAUCGAGGUAAUCAGACAUUUUUACAAAAAGUUCUAAACUUUGAGCACAGAAAUAGCUAGAAUAAGCCGACAGAAAGCAGAAAUAGAAGUAAGAUUAAGCAUCCUUACCUCUGUGUCUACACGUAGCUUCUGAAAUAAGGACGAUCGGGCAAGAAUCGGAAAAAGCUCUGCACCCCUCUCUUUCUCUCUCUAACUCUCGGCCACUUUGGGAGAAAAUGAGAUAUUUUCUCACUUUUUCCCUUUUUAUAGUAGAGGGGAAAAUCCGAAAAAUCGAUAUUUUGCGGUUCCGGUCGUUUUGGUACUUCCGUCUGCUGAUAAAAAUUGAGUUUUCGGCGACAGAAUGUCGAAACUCAAAUCAAGGUUCAUUUAAUUGAGGAAAACGUCUCAAAGACGGUGUGAGUCGAUUUAUGCUGAAAAACUACUUUUUGCAGUUGACGUCGGAUGAGGAAACUUCCUUCAGGAAAAAGAUCAAAAACGUCGAAAGAAAUGAGGCAACGCGGAUGGAAACUUCGCUAGAAGCUCCGAAUAGAAAAACCCUUCAUUCAAGGUCUUAGUUAAAGUUCCCGAGAUGUUAAAGUCUGGCUUCGGCGGACUUCCGGGAAGCGAAACCUAACAAGCGUAUAGUCCAGGGUUUCGUAUCGGAAAGCUAGUCAUGGGAAAAAUACUCAGAGGUUCUUAUUCUCUCUUUAAUUCUAAAAUUCUCUUAAACAAUGCUCUAGGAGCGGAUAUAGCCUUUUUCGGACACUCUCGACCUUAGUCGGGUGCGAAUAUGGCUUGUGCCAUCAAUCAAAAUGACUAAAGUGUCAUCCUUAAACAUACUGCGAACUUUCGUCUUCAUAACGCUAAUCCAAACAUUAAACACGAGUCAAGUUCCUCUCACGCUGACACAAAAUCCUAUGCGUGAGUUGGAAAUUAAUUAUUUAUUUAAUUCUAAAAUCCUGGGUCUUACAAUAUUGGAGGGUGAUAGGGUGACGAUGGUGGUGGAUGGCGGUGACAGUGGUGGUAGUAGUGGCGGUAGUGGCGAUGAUGACAAUGAUAGAGUGGUGGUGGAGGUGAUGAUGGUCGCAGUGGUGGUGGCGGCGUUGGUGGUGGAGGGUGGUGGUAGUGGGGAUAACGAUGACGGGAAUUAACGAUGGUGGUACUGGUGGAGCGUGGUGAUGGUGGCGGUGACGGUGGUGGAGGGUGGUCGGAGGUGGCGAAGGUGGUGGUUGAGGGCGGUGGUGGUGGAGGAGGGUGGUGGCGGCGGGGGUGGUGGUGGCGGCGAAAGUGAUGGAUGGUGGAUGAUGGUGGAGGGUGGUGGUGGAGGGUGGUGGUGGUGAAGGGUGGUGGCGACAGAAGUGAUGGAGGGUAUUGGCGGUGGCGAUGGUGGUGAUGGAGGAUGGGGUGGAUGGUGGUGGUGGCGGUGGAGGGUGGUGGCGGCUGUGGUGAUGGAGGGUGGUGGUGGCGGCGGCAGUGGAGGGUGGUUGUGGCAGCAAUGGUGGUGGUGGUGGCGGUAGUGGUGGGCGGCGACGGUGGUGGUGGAGGUUGUGGUGGUGGCAGUUAAUUAAAUAUAUUCAAGUAGUUUAUACAUCACAUUUUUAUCAUGUCUUAUAUAUAGGGUGGAUUAAAUAUUCCAUCAUUUUGAUGUAUAAGAGAAAAUUGAUGUAUAAACUUAUACAAUACAACGUGAGCACUAAACAAUGGAUAAUCCAUGAUGUAUUAUAUAAGCUUAUGCUAUCAUGCCUAAUACGGCGUACCAAACGUGCCUUAAUAGUAUGAGAGAGAAAGUUUGUGAAGAAAGACAUAAAAUGAGGUGGUGACACUUGUCAAAGUUGCCACUUUUCGGUUUCAGAAAUAGUAUAUAUAUAUACACGAUAAGAUAGGAUUUUUUUUUGGUUACAAUAAGAUAGGAUAUGAUAGAAUAUGAUAAGGUAUGAUAGGAUUAAAAUGAGUAAAAUAUUAAUUAUCAAUCAUAAUUUUUUAUGCAUUCAGAUCAAUACUAAUUGAUUAUUAAUAAAUCUUUAUUAUAUGAUUGACACACUAGAUGAUACCUAUAACUAAGCAAAAAAAAAACCACUAAUUGAAAAAAUGGUUAAUACAAAGUACUAUUAACUAAAUAUAUAUUUUAAAAUUAACUAAAUAUAUUAAAUAAUUGAGAUUAAUGGAUAUGCAUUGUUUGUGUAAAGAAGUGUUACACGGACGUCCAAUCACAUUAUGUCACAUAGGACUAAGUGGUUACAAAUAUUUUUAAUUUUAGUUAGUAAAUUAAUAAAUUGCUGAUGUGGCGGAAAUCAAUUUAGUGGAGAUAACCUUCUUCGCAGGGGCGGAUCCAGACCUUAUAUGUUAGUGUGGCUAAACAUAAAAGAAAUUACUGAUUAAAAUAUAUUGAAAUCUUUUUUUCAAAAGAGAUAAAUAUUAUAGAUAAAACCAUGAGAGAAAGUUUCUCAUGGAAAUAGAAGAGUUUACAGUCCAAGAAGGACUAGGCUUACAACGAAAUAUAACAAAAGAAACAGAGUGAAAACAACAGUACACUAUUCUUCUUUAUAUAUGUAUUGUGUUGGAUGACAUGAUGAGCACAUUUGAGUGAACAUUAAUUUCAUGAUGGAUAUGAACAACAUACAAAAUAUAAAAUACAUUCAGGAAGAGAAUAGAAUGAAAGCAACACAUUGUGAGAGACUUGGUUUUUUUUUUAUCAACUAAGGUAAGAUGUAUUAAAAUGGGAGUACUAGGUGUACUCCAAACCCACUUACAGCAAGAAAGCACAUAACUGUGAAAAGCAAAAGAAUAGAGCAACAAUUCUGUUUUGCUUACACGUACAGGCCUGCUACCCACAAAAACUAAACUCAAACAAAAUUGUUUGUACAAGAAAAAUAGAAGAAAAUCAACGAACACAAGUUUCAGUAUAGAUACAAUUGCCUCACAAACCAGAGUAAAAUCUUACACACUUAGAAUUGUGAUUGGAUAACACAAGUUCUCAAGCAUAUAAUUUUUUUCUAAAAAAAAAAAACCUGGUGUGGUUAAGCUGAGAAACGUCAUACUACUUAGGAUUAAGGAUUGGACUUUUCGUUAAAAAAAGGAUUGGACUUUUAUGGUAUUUUUAGGACUUGUAUUUUUUGCACAUGUGGGGAUUGCUUUUAGCACACCCAUUUUUACAAUUUACACAUCCAUUAGUUUUAAAAUUUUAAAAGAUAAAGAAAGUUUUUUUUAUCAAAGAUAAUCAAUUCAAUACCCAAAAGAUUGUCUAACGACAUUUACAAUAUGUAAGAAUAAAUCUCAACAAGCGAUAUCGCACUGCAAUAUAUAAGUAAUCACAGAAACAAGCAUACACACUCAAACAACAAAAUUAAACAUCAACUAAAAGCAUGAUGUAAAAAUCUUAAGGAUCAUACAAAAGCUCCUAAUAAACAUCCAAGCAGAUAAAAAUAAGUCUAAUACAGGAUUAGAGUAUUGGGCUAGUGCUUUGAAUCUCAUUUGUUUUAUACCAACUCAUUGUUUUGGGCGCUACCCUUUAUGUGAUUACUUAUGUAUUGCAUUGUGAUAUCGGUUGUUGAGAUUUGUCAUUGAAUAUUCAUUUGCUAGAUCCUUAUUAGAAUAUUCAUUUGUUUAUAAUUUACAUUGAUGUGAGUUAGUUUCUCUUUUUUUUCAGAAGAGAAGGAAAAAAAAGAGUUAGUUUCUCUUUUGACCAAAAAGAAAGUUAAUUUCUCAUGUGUUAUGUUUGGAACAGGUGAAAAUGCCGUGAUGGAAAACUACAUCAGGGAAAAAGAUAUAAAAUUACUGUACACUAUAUGUUUGGUUACACAAAAACAUGUCAGAAGGUGGUAAAACCAUUCUUGCAUAAAUCAUGGCUAUGAUUUCCCUAAAAUGAAAAGUUAUAGAAACAAAACAAGUAAUUGACAAUUUUUUUAAAACAAGACUCUCCCAAGUGAGUUAAUGAAUUUUGAAAAAGUCCAACAAACAACAAAAGAUUCAAAAGGAACAACUAAUGCACAAAUCCGCAACAAACAAGAGGAUAAAAAUAACAGUCAAUUGUUCUGAUAUCAAGUGUGAGUAAAUCAAACAUUGAAAGAUAAAAAAAACUUUGAGCGGUUUAUAAGUGUGAGAACUCAUAAACCCAAUGUCAUCAGGUUUUGAGUGAAAGAUGUGAUGUCUGGUCCACUUGUGAUUUGCUCUUUAAAUUUCAAUGUGGAGUUUUAUCCCAAAUUUUAAAAUCAUCUCUUUUGUUUGACCAUUUAUUUUGCCCAACAGUGAUAUCAGGGUCGAUGGUUGUUUGAACAUGGGUCAUGAGCCUCUGAGGUUCCGUUUGAGUACAAGCCCAACUUUCAUUUGAGAUGGACUCACACUUGAGAAGGAGAUUGUUGUGUACUAUCAAGUGCGAGUAAGCCACUUACACAUUUGAAGAUAAAUGAUAAAUUUGAGUGGUUUAUAAGCGUGUGAACCCAUGCAUGUACUCAUUGUCUUAAGGUUUUGGAUGAAAAUUGUGGUAUCCAACUCACUUAUGGUUUGCUCUUUAAAGUCCAAUGUAGAGUUUUAUCCCCGAAUAUUAAACUAUCUCCUUUCUUCGGCCCUUUAUUAGGCCCAACUUGUUUCAUGUGGAAUAUCUCAAUAAUUCGAAGAGAAUGAGUUGUAUUUUCAAAAACAACUAGUAAUAUAUUUCAUUAAUAAUAAAACUUUUAGAAAAGUGCGAAAAAUAUAUUUAUAUUUUAUUGUAUAAUACGUGUUGAAUAUGUGAAGAGAUCAAGUGUGGCAAAAAACUUUAUUCCUUUUAGGAUUGAGUAACAUAGUUCAUUCAUUAUUUAUUGAUUAGAAUAACAUUAUAUUUUUUUAUAGGGAUAGAAUAACAUUAUAAAUCAGUCAGAUUUGAGUAGAAAAAAUUCCAAUCCUGAUUUAAUCAUUUUUAUAAAAUUGAAAUCAUACCAUAUGGGGCUAAAUCAGCUUUGUAACCCCCCAGGAGUUUGAUUCGAAUUUCACCCCUUGUCCAAAAUAAAAAGCCAGAGUUAAUUGCGUCUUUUAGUGACUUAAUGUGUAUUUAAUAACAACCAUUGAAAAUUUGAAAAGAAAAAACAAAACAAAGCAAUACAAUGAUUGACAGAACAUACAUGCAGGCAAAAAGCACACAAAAAACCAUAGAAUCUGUUUUCCUUUUUUCUAUUUAUGAAAACGGCUUGUGGUUAUUUUAAUUUUAUCAAGCAAAACAUUGGUUGGUAAUUGGCUACAACCAGAGCCUAUGGUUUUUCUAAGUUCCAAGUUUGAUACAUUAAAAAAAGGUUACAAUCCUUUGCUAAAUUAAGCUAUGAUUUAUAAUAAUAGCAACCCUUGGCCUCCUCAAAAUUUUGCAGGCCAUUAAGAACCAAACAAAACAAACUAAAAUUAACGCGUAGUGACCCUUUAUAAAACCUUUCAAGAAUUAGCUACAACACAAUUGAUCAUUAUUCCUUCAACCUUUCUUUGCUUUCUAAUUAGCGUUCUUUCUCUUGUUAUUGUAGAGGGAGGACGAUAAUAUCAAGAAAGAAACUUUGUUUUAUUCUCUUAAUUAACUCAUCUAUCAUUCAAUAUGGGAAACUGUGGCAGCAACCCUAAGACCAAUGAGGGUCCUGAGCCAGUGCCUGAGAUUAAGAAUGAGGAGGUUAAGGUUGAGCAGGUGCAGGAGAGUGAAGCCAAUGUUGAAAAGAAGACAGAGGAAACCCCUAAUGAAGAUAACAAGUCUCUAAGCACCUUGCUCAAUGAGGUAAUAUCUUAAUUUCUCCUUCAAAUUAGGUCUCUGAGAUGACUGAAAUCUUCUGUUUUCAUUUGAUCUAUAUCUUUGUUCUACCAAUCAAAUUAUGUCAUAUAAUUCAGAAAUCACUAAUAUAAGAUUAUAAAUGUUAUACUCAUGCAAUUUGAUUGGUGACGAAAAAAAGAGACUUGGGAUUAAGAUCUUCAUCCAUCCCAAACUUGGUUAAAAUAAUUGUUAGUUUAUGAGUUUUACCUUUUUUUAAUCACCAUUUUGCAAAUUUACAUGAUAUUAUUUAUCAAUUUAUUUUGAUGUUUUUAUAAGAAUUAUAAUGGUAAAAUUAUUAAUAUAAUGAAAGUAUAAUUUUUUUUCGUUACAAUUGGAAAAAUAAUGAAAGCGUUAUUUAAUAAAAUAUUUUUUAUAACACAAUCAAAAGUUUUAGUUAUUUUCUUAAUAUUUUUGUAAAAUCUUAGAUGACAAUUACUCUUUCCCUUCAUUAAAAUAAAACCAUUUUAAAAAUUUCAAAUUAUUUCAAACAAAGUGAGCAUAAAAAUUAGGUUUUUAUAUCACCCAAGAUAAAUAUUAGGUUAAAUCACAUAAUAUUCUCGUGACAAAUGUCAAAAUAUUAUUUGACCACCUAAAUUAGAGUAAUUUUACACAAGGUAAAUCUUAAAUGAUUUAUGAAAUUCUGAAAGAUGCUAAUCUAAAAUACAGUUAAAAAAUUUAGAUUUGAUGAACCGUACCAAAAAAUAUUUGAUUUAUUAGAAUAUUGAAAAUGGUGUGAAGAUUAAGAAUACUUUACCAACAACAAUUAAGUUUUGUUUUUAAGGUUACAGCAAUGAAGUUAUACUUCUAAAACAUUUCAAUCUAAUGCUAUUACAUCCUCCUAAACAUUUCAACCUAAUUAUUAUCACUUUUGUACAAGCAGAAUGAAGAGGAGGCAAAGAAACCUGAGGAAGAAGUACAAGCUGAGCCCAAGGAAGAAAAAGCAACCACUGAGGAAGUAAAGGUUGAAACCAAGGAAGUAAACCCGAAACCCGAGGAGGAGCCCAAGGAAGAAGAACCUAAAGCCCAAGUUCAAGAAGAGAAGCCCAAAACAGAAGAGGCAUAGAGCUGAGAAACGUGCGUGUAGACAAAGGUUUUACCAGGAUUGAUUUUAUAUACUUCAACAAGUAUACAAAUUUGUUGCCUUUCUGUUUAGUGCUCCAAGGAAAAUUUAUUAGAUCUUAUAUUAUGCAAAAUUGAAUUUCGAUUUAGAGUUGUUGGAUUAAAUGAGCAUUUAAUUAAUAAGUUCUUUUUCCAAAUUAUUUCUAUGGUGUGAUAGUCUUUUUCGAAUUUCUCAAGUUAUUUUUUAAUUUUACAUAAAUAUUAAAUAAACUUUCACGCUCGUGAAGGCAUAAUAAAUUCUGAUUUUUUUUGAAAUCUAUCUAUAUCUAUAUCUAUAUCUAUAUACUUUAGAAAAGAGGAAGCUUGUGAGACCCACCAUGCUGAUUUGGCACUCCAAGAAUUACUCUCACCCAACCUCCUUCUUUGCCUAACAAGUGUCACCCUCUUAUUGAUUUGGACCAAAACAUUACAAAGCCCAUUUUCAUUUCAGUUUUGUAUGGAGGCCCAUUAUUGAAAGCUUAUAUAUUGAAUGCUGAUUUUUUAUUAUUUUUUUUAGCCAUUCAUUAAUUGCUAACAUAAAAUAUCCACAUUAAUGGCUGAUUAACAUUUUGACUAUUUCAACUAUUUAAUUACAAAUAAUUUUUGUUUUGCACCACAAGAUCCAUUUGUUUAAAUAGAAUUAUCAUUUUUCAAAAAUAUUCGAAAUAGUUUCGAAUUUCCUAUAAUUACUCAUUACCUGUGCGAGGACCGUCGACAACGCGUUUCUCAGUUUUUUUUUUUUAAAUCAACGCGUUUCUCAGUUAAAUAACGCGUUUCCUAUAAUUAAUCAUUUCCAUAAAUGAGAAAUAUUGACCUAUCAUUCAUAAUAAUUAUAAGUGAACCGUACGUUUGUAAUAUUAUAAUAAAUGGAAUCACUAUUUAAUAUCAUGAUUUGUAACGCACGGGGUAAUAUUUUAAUAUCUUUUUUGCUACAUCGGUAAUAUUUUAAUAUCAUGAUUGAUACAUUCCAUUCUUAUGAAGAAAAAAUUACCCUGGAAUUAAUUGAAUUUCCUAUUUUGAGUAGUAAAUCACCUUAUGCUAUUAAAAGUCACUAUAAGCGUACGAUUGAAAUUUUGGUUGAAAAAAGAAAUAGCGCCGGCUAAUUUCAAAUACCAUGCAUAAUAUUACCUUAAUUUUCCUUCCUUUUUUAACUUGCAUUGAGAAGUAACCCUAAUUCUGAAAUUUAUAUAUAAAUCACCUCAUGCUAUUCUUCAACUUUAUCAAUCCUUCCAUUUUCCACCAACUAUUAGCUUUGAAAAUUCUGAAUAUUACCCGUCAAACACUCAUCUUUUUGAACUCAACUUCCGGGAGGAUACGCCCACUAUCGGUGAGUCUUUAUUAAUUAUUUUGUAGUUAUAUUAUUCGCACAAUAUUAACAAUUUCUGAUAUCUGGAAAUUUUAGAUAUAAUCGGUGUUUUGAGUAAGGUUGGACGAGUACAAGAGUUCACAAUCCUUAGAAAGAUUGAGAAGGUCGUCCGAAUUGAUCGACCUUUCUGCAGCAGGGUAAUUUAAUAUGCAUUCGUGUACUCAUUUAUAAUUACGUUUUUUUUUUUUUCCAAUACACCAAAGAACCUAAUUUUGUCUUUUAUUGAUAUAGCAGAGCAAAAUUGAAUGUUUUGAUUGGGAAAUUUGUACAAG